GUAUACCUGAAAGUCCAAGCUCGAAAUUACUGGCUCAUUCAGUCAUAGGGAUUUCUAAAGUUCUUCAAAAGUUCUGGGACAUCAUAUCCCAACAUGUCAUCGACAGACUGAAUCAUUUUUGGUUUCAACUUCUCAAAUUUGUCGAAGUUGUAACCACCUAAUAUCUCUCGGAAUUGAUCGACAUUUGGGAAAUCUCCAGCGGGCAAGUGAUGUUCCCUUUGUACCUUUCCAAACUCAUCUUCCAAAUUAUCGAUGAG
rnacentral:misc_RNA from 1 species